rnacentral:rRNA from 1 species
UAUUAAUAAUAUUGUUUUAAUUUAUUUUUAAUGUUAUUUUUGAAUUAAGUAAAUUUUAGUUUUUGUAAGUUUUAGUGGUGGAAUUGUUUUACUAUAGUAUAUUAGUACUGUUAAGGAAAAUUUAAAUUAAGUAUAAUAUGUUUAAGUUAAUUUUAUUAAUUGUAUCUUGUGUAUCAGAGUAUAUUAAAAUAUAUUAUAUAUUUUUUUUUCUCGAAUUUUAAAGAUUUAAUUAAAUAUAUUAUUUAUUGUAUUAUAAAUAUUAAUAAUUUUUAAUUGGUAAUGAAAUGUUAGUCGUUUUUUAGGAUAUCUAGUUUUUUAAUAAAUGAAUUUAAUUCAGGAUAUAUAAUUUAUUUAAUUAUUUAUGUAUGAUAAUAUAUUGUAUAUUUAAUUUUUAAAAAGGGAGAAUCUUUUUUUAAAUAUAGUUAUAAUAAUGUUUAGUUAAGGAAUUUUAUGAAUUUAGGCGGUUGUUAUUAAUUAAAAAAUGUUAAAAUUUAAUUCUUUAUUUUGGAUAAUUUUAUAAUUAUUUAAUUUAUAUAUUAAAAUAUUGAUUUUUAAUUUUUUGAUUUUAAGAAUUUAUGAUUUAAUUAGUAAAUAUUAUUUAUUAUAAGUGUAUAUUUAUUUAUUAUAAUAAUAUAAAGAAUUAGGCAAAUUUUUCGCUCACCUGUUUAUUAAAAACAUGGUUUCUUGUUUAGUAUUUAAGAAAUCUGACCUGCCCACUGAAAAGUUUUAAAGGGCCGCAGUAUAUUGACUGUGCGAAGGUAGCAUAAUAAUUAGUCUUUUAAUUAAAGGCUUGUAUGAAUGGUUAAAUGAAGUGAAUACUGUUUUAUAUUAUAUUUUUGAAUUUAGAUUUUAAGUAAAAAUACUUAAAUUAUAUUAAGGGACGAGAAGACCCUAUAGAGUUUAAUAAAUGUAAUUUUAUAUUGAGUUAAUAAUUAUUUUUUUUUGAUUUUUUAUGAAAUUUAUUUAAUUGGGGUGAUUAAAAGAUAUAAGAAACUCUUUUUUAUAUUUAAUAUUUAUAAAUAGUAAUGAGAUCCAUUUUUUGUGAUUUAAAGAUUAAAUUACCUUAGGGAUAACAGCAUAAUUUUCUUUAAGAGUUCAUAUCGAAAGGAAAGGUUAUGACCUCGAUGUUGGAUUAAGAUUUGUUUAAGGUGUAGAUGUUUAAAAACAAGGUCUGUUCGACCUUUAAAAUCUUACAUGAUCUGAGUUYAAACCGGCGUGAGCCAGGUUGGUUUCUAUCUUUAAUUUUGUUAAAUAUUUUAGUACGAGAGGACCAAAUAUUUAAAAUAAUUUUUGAUUUAAUGAUUAUUAUUAAUUA